CCUACGGGAGGCAGCAGUAGGGAAUCUUUCACAAUGGGCGAAAGCCUGAUGGAGCAACGCCGCGUGCAGGAUGAAGGCCUUCGGGUUGUAAACUGCUUUUAUAAGCGAGAAAUAUGAUGGUAACUUAUGAAUAAGGAUCGGCUAACUACGUGCCAGCAGCCGCGGUCAUACGUAGGAUCCGAGCAUUAUCCGGAGUGACUGGGUGUAAAGAGUUGCGUAGGUGGCAUAAUAAGUAGCUAGUGAAAUCUGGUGGCUCAACCAUUCAGACUAUUAGCUAAACUGUUAAGCUCGAGACCGUUAGAGGUAACUGGAAUUUCAAGUGUAGGAGUGAAAUCCGUAGAUAUUAGAAGGAACACCAAUAGCGUAGGCAGGUUGCUGGGACGGUUCUGACACUAAGGCACGAAAGCGUAGGGAGCAAACGGGAUUAGAUACCCUUGUAGUC
rnacentral:rRNA from 1 species